rfam:Trichobilharzia regenti genome assembly, scaffold: TRE_scaffold0003918
GUACUGAUGAAGAGUUCAAGACUAGGACGAAACAGCUGUCCAGUAC